rnacentral:lncRNA from 1 species
CGCGGGACCGGUGGCACCGCCCGCAGCACCUGCUGUCCGGUUUGCGCAGCCCGUCCGCGUCUACCAGCGCCAGGCGCGGCCGGCUCCACUGGACCUGCAGCCGGCCCCGCCACCGCCGUCGCCGCCUCAGUCAUCGCCGGUGGACUCUUCUCCGCCGGCGACGCCUACACCACCUCCACCGGCCCCGACUGCCCGUGUCGCGCCGACGGUGUACCAUCCGCCUCUCCUAC